rnacentral:rRNA from 1 species
ACGUGUGCAACCUGCCUUUAUCUGGGGGAUAGCCUUUCGAAAGGAAGAUUAAUACCCCAUAAUAUAUUUGUCGGCAUCGAUGGAUAUUGAAAACUCCGGUGGAUAGAGAUGGGCACGCGCAAGAUUAGAUAGUUGGUGAGGUAACGGCUCACCAAGUCUACGAUCUUUAGGGGGCCUGAGAGGGUGAUCCCCCACACUGGUACUGAGACACGGACCAGACUCCUACGGGAGGCAGCAGUGAGGAAUAUUGGACAAUGGGUGAGAGCCUGAUCCAGCCAUCCCGCGUGAAGGACGACGGCCCUAUGGGUUGUAAACUUCUUUUGUAUAGGGAUAAACCUACCCUCGUGAGGGUAGCUGAAGGUACUAUACGAAUAAGCACCGGCUAACUCCGUGCCAGCAGCCGCGGUAAUACGGAGGGUGCAAGCGUUAUCCGGAUUUAUUGGGUUUAAAGGGUCCGUAGGCGGAUCUGUAAGUCAGUGGUGAAAUCUCACAGCUUAACUGUGAAACUGCCAUUGAUACUGCAGGUCUUGAGUGUUAUUGAAGUAGCUGGAAUAAGUAGUGUAGCGGUGAAAUGCAUAGAUAUUACUUAGAACACCAAUUGCGAAGGCAGGUUACUAAGCAACAACUGACGC